AGUGAACGCUGGCGGUAGGCCUAACACAUGCAAGUCGAACGGCAGCACAGAGGAGCUUGCUCCUUGGGUGGCGAGUGGCGGACGGGUGAGGAAUACAUCGGAAUCUACUCUGUCGUGGGGGAUAACGUAGGGAAACUUACGCUAAUACCGCAUACGACCUACGGGUGAAAGCAGGGGAUCUUCGGACCUUGCGCGAUUGAAUGAGCCGAUGUCGGAUUAGCUAGUUGGCGGGGUAAAGGCCCACCAAGGCGACGAUCCGUAGCUGGUCUGAGAGGAUGAUCAGCCUCACUGGAACUGAGACACGGUCCAGACUCCUACGGGAGGCAGCAGUGGGGAAUAUUGGACAAUGGGCGCAAGCCUGAUCCAGCCAUACCGCGUGGGUGAAGAAGGCCUUCGGGUUGUAAAGCCCUUUUGUUGGGAAAGAAAUCCAUCUGGUGAAUACCCGGGUGGGAUGACGGUACCCAAAGAAUAAGCACCGGCUAACUUCGUGCCAGCCGCCGCAGUAA
rnacentral:rRNA from 1 species